CAAUGCAUUGUGGGAGGACAAUGGCGGCGUUUAGCAGGGGUAAAGAGCUGUAAGACACAUUGAUGCAUCUGACAGCUUCCAAAGGCUUGGAAAGUAGGUUAAUGAUGCAGCUAUAGACAACCCCAUCUUAUGCAUGUUAUGAGAAGUUAAAAGUGUUUAACAACUACUCCAGGCUUUUUCUUUGCAAGAAGGGAUAUUGAUAGAGGGAAGGAGAUCAGAUAUGACUAUGGUGAUCCCAUGCCCAAUGGACAAUCUUCCUUGGAGUUCAUCACUCAUCAGGAAGCAUUUUGGAGGCAAACCCUGUUGCAGCAUUUCUACAUGUUCCACAGAUUGUACAGACUAGUCAGGACCUUGUAAAUUCUUAUGUUCAACAGCUUAGGCAAUUUAG